UACGGAGGAUGCAAGCGUUAUCCGGAAUGAUUGGGCGUAAAGCGUCCGCAGGUGGCAAUGUAAGUCUGCUGUCAAAGCGUCUGGCUCAACCAGAUAAAGGCAGUGGAAACUACAUAGCUAGAGUAAGGUAGGGGUAGAGGGAAUUCCUGGUGUAGCGGUGAAAUGCGUAGAGAUCAGGAAGAACACCGGUGGCGAAAGCGGCUCUCUGGGACGGUACUGACGCUGAGACGCGAAAGCGUGGGGAGCAAACAGG
rnacentral:rRNA from 1 species